rnacentral:rRNA from 1 species
GACGAACGCUGGCGGCGUGCUUAACACAUGCGAGUCGAACGGAAAGGCCCCUUUGGGGGUACUCGAGUGGCGAACGGGUGAGUAACACGUGAGUAACCUGCCCUUGACUUCGGGAUAACUUCAGGAAACUGGGGCUAAUACCGGAUAGGAAUCCUUGCUGCAUGGUGGGGGUUGGAAAGCUUCGGCGGUUUUGGAUGGACUCGCGGCUUAUCAGCUUGUUGGUGGGGUAGUGGCUUACCAAGGCUUUGACGGGUAGCCGGCCUGAGAGGGCGACCGGCCACAUUGGGACUGAGAUACGGCCCAGACUCCUACGGGAGGCAGCAGUGGGGAAGAUUGCACAAUGGGCGGAAGCCUGAUGCAGCAACGCCGCGUGCGGGAGGACGGCCUUCGGGUUGUAAACCGCUUUCAGCAGGGGCGAAGCUUGUGGUGACGGUACCUGCAGAAGAAGCACCGGCUAACUACGUG